rnacentral:rRNA from 1 species
GACGAACCGUGCGACCGUUGUUCGGAUUCACUGGGCUUAAAGGGCUCGUAGGCGGCCAACUAAGUCAGACGUGAAAUCCCUCAGCUUAACUGGGGAACUGCGUCUGAUACUGGAUGGCUUGGAUUCGGGAGAGGAAUGCGGAAUUCCAGGUGUAGCGGUGAAAUGCGUAGAUAUCGGGAGGAACAACAGAGGCGAAGGCGAUCUUCUGGACUGUAACUGACGCUGAGGUGCGAAAGCGUGGGUAGCAAACAGG